rnacentral:rRNA from 1 species
AGUGAACGCUGGCGGCAGGCCUAACACAUGCAAGUCGAACGGCAGCACAGUAAGAGCUUGCUCUUACGGGUGGCGAGUGGCGGACGGGUGAGGAAUACAUCGGAAUCUACUUUUUCGUGGGGGACAACGUAGGGAAACUUACGCUAAUACCGCAUACGGCCUACGGGUGAAAGCAGGGGAUCUUCGGACCUUUCGCGAUUGAAUGAGCCGAUGUCGGAUUAGCUAGUUGGCGGGGUAAAGGCCCACCAAGGCGACGAUGCGUAGCUGGUCUGAGAGGAUGAUCAGCCACACUGGAACUGAGACACGGUCCAGACUCCUACGGGAGGCAGCAGUGGGGAAUAUUGGACAAUGGGCGCAAGCCUGAUCCAGCCAUGCCGCGUGGGUGAAGAAGGCCUUCGGGUUGUAAAGCCCUUUUGUUGGGAAAGAAAAGCAGCAGGUUAAUACCCCGCUGUUCUGACGGUACCCAAAGAAUAAGCACCGGCUAACUUCGUG